rnacentral:rRNA from 1 species
GGGCAUCGGUCGAGGCUGGUUGGCCGGUGACAGUAUGAAAACCCUUGCCCUCUUUUGCGCACCCUUCGUUUCCUCGGCAGCUCUGCCUGCCAGCGGGGACCCCUAAGAAACCUUUUUGCAAUACCUGUACAACCUUCUGAAAAACCCAAUCGUUAAAACUUUCAACAAUGGAUCUCUUGGCUCUGGCAUCGAUGAAGAACGCAGCGAAAUGCGAUAAGUAGUGUGAAUUGCAGAAUUCAGUGAAUCAUCGAAUCUUUGAACGCACAUUGCGCCCUUUGGUAUUCCUUAGGGCAUGCCUGUUCGAGCGUCAUUUAAAAAUUCAAGCUCAGCUUGGUGAUGGGUGUCUGUCCCACCUUUGCGUGCGGACUCGCCUCAAAUGCAGUUGGCAGCUUAUCCUCCGGCCCUAAACGCAGCAGAUUUGCGUCGAAGCGCCGUCCGGACGGGCUCUCCAGUAAGCAAACCCCCCAAGAUUGACCUCGGAUCAGGCAGGGAUACCCGCUGAACUUAAGCAUAUCAUAGGCCCGGAAGGAAA